rnacentral:lncRNA from 1 species
AGGAGGAAGGCGGGGGAGGGGGUGCUGGGCGCUGAGUGGCGGCUCUGGCAGGGUUUGGUAGGGUGGGGAACGGUCGCAGGACGUUCCGUUAGGGAGGUGGUGGGCAGAGGGGCGCCGUCGGCCUGAGGGGCCGUAGACCCCAGCUUCCACGAGCGCCUUGGCUGGCGUGGCUGUUCCAUGUGGCUCCCGCGGGGAUGGAGGACUCGGUGGCGGCGGCGGCGGCUGCUGCUGCGGUGGCGAUGGAGAAGCGGAUCUGAGGAGGGAACCGGGCCAGACUCAGCCCUACAGCGGGAUUAGAGUACUCCAGAAUACGAGUCAUAUAGCCCCCGAGGUGGAAUGGUGAUGUCUCCCUGAGGGAACCUACUGUUAUUCAUCCUGUCAUGUAUAUUAUACUGUUCUUGACUGAACCAUUCAUGUAAGAUGGGAUUUACCCUGUGAAACAGGGAGAAGACUUAUGAACCUCAAACAUCAUUUCAAGUUGUAAUUGAGUUUUGUGAAGUACAGACAUACAUGCAAAAGCUCCUUUGCUUUGGAUCCUCUGCUUUAUUAAAUUUGCUGUGUUGCUAACCCAGAACUGUUCCAGUUUAUUGAUCCAUCAUCAUGGCUUCAGUUUGGAAGAGACUGCAACGUGUGGGAAAACAUGCAUCCAAGUUUCAGUUUGUGGCUUCCUACCAGGAGCUGAUGGUUGAGUGUACAAAGAAAUGGGUCUUGCUAUGUAGUUCAAUUUGGCCUCGAACUCACUCCGUAGCACAGGCUGGCCUCAAACUCACAGUGAUCCUCCUGCCUCAGCCCUUUGAGUACUGGAAUUACAGGUGUGCACUACCACGCCCAGCUUUUGAUCUUAAAUUGUAUGUGUGUGUGUUCGAUUAAAAUCUAUAUAAAGAAUAUAAAAAUAAAAAUAGACUUGAAUACAUAGUAAAGGUUUUUCCUAUUAGACAAUUUUACAUUUUAGAUAUUAUUUGGGGUUAUGGGAAAAUAAAAGGAAAUUUUGAGAUUAUGAUUGAAAAAUAAAAAAGAGAGAUUAGUAUACAUGAAGAUUAGUUGCAAGAAUUGAGAAGAUAAGAAAAUAGAAUUCCAUUGGAAUUAAUGCCUUUGGAGGUAAUGUGUAUAUAAGUGCUGCUGCCUUUUAGAGCCUUGUUACUUAAAAGUUUUUUAUUCUGACAGCUAGAACCAUUUGUAACACCUGAGAACUAGAACUAUUAAAUUAGAAUCUGAAUUUUAACAAGAUCUAUAGGAUACAUGUUGAAGUUUAUGAAGCAGUAUUUCAGAAUAAUGUUUUCAACCUUACCAAGUAUCCAUUCUUGAUUCUUUUUUUUUUCCCUCAGUACUGGGGAUUGAACUCAGGACCUUGUGCUUGUGAGGCAGGUGCAGCACUACUGAGAGCUAAAUCCCUGGCCCUCCAUUCUUGAUUGUAAGAUAAAGUAUAUGAAGAAAAAAAUACUAAAUAUAUAAAAAGUAAAAUAUAUAAUAUAUAAUAUAAAAUAAUGAAUAAUAAAGUACAUGAAUUUGAAACUCAAGGGACUGAAGAUUGUAGAUAGGUUGGGACUCAGGAAAGCCAUAGUGUGUUGGUAGAAGAGGGUAAUGGGCAUCAAAGGUAUGUUUUCCAAGGGAAGAUGUGUUAUUUUUGUGAUUAAGCAAAGGAGAAACAUUGUGUAUAUUCUUUUUUUUUUUUUUUUUUUGAUAGCCAUGUAGGUGUGAGUCUGUACUUGAAAAAUAACAGAUGAAGGUAUGGGUUUAAGGAGCUUAUCUUUUUUUUCCAGAUGUAGACCAUGAGUGAACUCAGUACCUUAUCCUUUGUCAAAGAUUGAAUACUAUAGAGGUUUGGGAUUUUUCCUUUCUUACGCUUCUUCUCUUUAUAGUCCUCUAAUAGUACUUUGCCUUGGUCCCAGCUGAUUUGUUAUUCCUUAUUAGUUUAGCAGGGCCCAUUACCUGAUUCUUUCUGGUUCCUUGAUUGCCACAUAAAGGGGCUAUAGCAAAUUUGGAGGUGAUAGGGGUUUACCUCCUGUUCUUAUUGCUGUCCCCUCAAGAGAUUAUACAAAUGUUUAGGAAACUGCUUGAAAGUUGACAAGUUUUGGUUGUAAUGCUAACUAGAUUGCAAAGUUAAAUUCUAGUAAGAAUUCUCUAAUAUAUGUUAUGAGCCAGUAUGUAUGAGCAUAUGUUUCUCUCUUACGUAUGUAUAUGAACAUAUGUUAUCUGUGUGUUUAUAUUUCAUUUACUUUCUGUUAUAGUGGGAAGAUUAAUAGUGUUUAAAGUACUAUAAAUUUGUCUCAAAAUGUCAUAAAUUUAUUUCUAUUUGGAUUUAUCCAUAUCCUGUAAGAAUUACCUUUUUUUAAAAUACGUUUAAUUAUAAUUUACAUUUUAAAUAGGUAAGUAAUUACAAUCACAUGGGUCAAAACUUUAGAAGUACAAAAAGGUGAAUGUUUAUAUGUCCCUGAAAGUGAGGACAUUUGCUUCAUUGUUCCACACAUUUUUGUCCAUUAUUCCACACAUUUUCACAAACUUUGUGACCCCAGGAUUUGAAAAAUAAAACAAAUAGUUCUUCCCAGUGUUUAAGUUUGCCAUGUUGGCCUGUUAGAUAAAAUAUAAACUCCUUAAUGUAAUGUUUCAGGUCAUCUGUCAUUGAUCCUAGUUUAAUUUUCCACCUGGAUGUUAGAAGGCUACAUGCACUUUAACUUGAAUUUAUAUAAAGCCAAAUUAUAUUAAAAAGUAUUCGUUUCAGACCCACUUCUUUGGGUGGCUUAAGCAAGCAUUUUUCUUGACUAAUGGAAUGAUACAGAGUUAUGUGAGCAAGCCUUGGUAUAAAGAACUUUUGAAAUAAAAUUUUAAAAAAGAAAAACGAAUUACAGUGAUACCUUGGUUGUAGACCAGCUCCAAGCUUGAACUUUCCACUACUCGAAUAGCAAAGUUUAAAAAAAAAAAUCUGCUCAAUGUUUGUAACCUUGCUCGAUAGUUGAACUUCAUGAAAAUCCAAUUUAAAGAAAACCUUUCUGGUUGAGAGUGAGUCACACGUCCAUCUUGCUGCGGAUGCAAAGAUCGCUGCUCUGGCCCAGACUACAUAUAGCACUUGUAUUAAUGCAUUAAAACAUUCAACAUUGUGCUUUUUUUGUGUGUGUGCUUUAUUUGUGUAAAAUAUUGUAACCAUGGCUCCAGAGAAAGUUAGUGAUACCAGCAGUGAAGCUAAGAGGCAAACUGAGAACCAUGAAAGAGUUAAAGAAAGAAAUCAUUGCAAAAUUUGUUAAAGUCCU